rnacentral:rRNA from 1 species
CGAACGAGAAGAGAUGAGAGCUUGCUUCUUAUCGAAUUCGAGUGGCAAACGGGUGAGUAACGCGUAAGCAACCUGCCCUCUAGAUGGGGACAACAGCUGGAAACGGCUGCUAAUACCGAAUGCGUUCUUUCUGUCGCAUGGCAGAGGGAAGAAAGGGAGGCUCUUCGGAGCUUUCGCUGGAGGAGGGGCUUGCGUCUGAUUAGCUAGUUGGAGGGGUAACGGCCCACCAAGGCGACGAUCAGUAGCCGGUCUGAGAGGAUGAACGGCCACAUUGGGACUGAGACACGGCCCAGACUCCUACGGGAGGCAGCAGUGGGGAAUCUUCCGCAAUGGACGAAAGUCUGACGGAGCAACGCCGCGUGAACGAUGACGGCCUUCGGGUUGUAAAGUUCUGUUAUACGGGACGAAUGGUACGACGGUCAAUACCCGUCGUAAGUGACGGUACCGUAAGAGAAAGCCACGGCUAACUACGUG